rnacentral:rRNA from 1 species
AUCUACAGCCAUGUCACCCUGAAUGCACCCCAUCUCAUCUGAUCUCAGAAGCUAAGCAGGGUAGGGCCUGGUUAGUACUUGAGUGGGAGACCACCUCAGAAUACCAGGUGCUGUAGGCG